GGAAGUAAAAGUCGUAACAAGGUCUCCGUUGGUGAACCAGCGGAGGGAUCAUUACAGAGUUAUACAACUCCCAUACCAUCUGUUAACCUACCCAGUUAUGCCUCGGCGUAAGCUCGGUUGGAGGCACCUGCAGCUACCCUGUAGUUGCGGACUGCCAACUCCAGCCGCGGCCCGCCGGCGGUACACUAAACUCUGUUUUAUUUUAUAUUCUGAGCGUCUUAUUUUAAUAAGUUAAAACUUUCAACAACGGAUCUCUUGGUUCUGGCAUCGAUGAAGAACGCAGCGAAAUGCGAUAAGUAAUGUGAAUUGCAGAAUUCAGUGAAUCAUCGAAUCUUUGAACGCACAUUGCGCCCAUCAGUAUUCUGGUGGGCAUGCCUGUUCGAGCGUCAUUUCAACCCUUAAGCCUAGCUUAGUGUUGGGAAUCUGCUGUACUGCAGUUCCUUAAAGACAGUGGCGGAGCGGCGGUAGUCCUCUGAGCGUAGUAAUUUAUUCCUCGCUUUUGUCAGGCUCUGUCCUCCCGCCAUAAAACCCCCAAUUUUUUAGUGGUUGACCUCGGAUCAGGUAGGAAUACCCGCUGAACUUAAGCAUAUCAAUAAGCGGAGGAA
rnacentral:misc_RNA from 1 species